rnacentral:rRNA from 1 species
AACGAACGCUGGCGGCAGGCCUAACACAUGCAAGUCGAGCGGGGACUUCGGUCCUAGCGGCGGACGGGUGAGUAACGCGUGGGAACGUGCCCUUUGCUUCGGAAUAGCCCCUGGAAACGGGGAGUAAUACCGGAUGUGCCCUUUGGGGGAAAGAUUUAUCGGCAAAGGAUCGGCCCGCGUUGGAUUAGGUAGUUGGUGGGGUAAUGGCCUACCAAGCCGACGAUCCAUAGCUGGUUUGAGAGGAUGAUCAGCCACACUGGGACUGAGACACGGCCCAGACUCCUACGGGAGGCAGCAGUGGGGAAUCUUAGACAAUGGGCGCAAGCCUGAUCUAGCCAUGCCGCGUGAGCGAUGAAGGCCUUAGGGUUGUAAAGCUCUUUCGUGGGGGGAAGAUAAUGACGGUACCCCAAGAAGAAGCCCCGGCUAACUCCGUGCCAGCAGCCGCGGU